rnacentral:rRNA from 1 species
UGGGGAAUUUUGCACAAUGGGGGAAACCCUGAUGCAGCGACGCCGCGUGAUUUAGAAGGCCUUCGGGUUGUAAAAAUCUUUUUUACGGGAUGAAAAUGACAGUACCGUAAGAAUAAGGUCCGGCUAAAUACGUGCCAGCAGCCGCGGUAAUACGUAUGGACCGAGCGUUGUACGGAAUCAUUGGGCGUAAAGGGUACGUAGGCGGCCUAGUAAGUUAGAAGUGAAAUAAUAUAGCUCAACUAUAUAAAGCUUUUAAAACUGCUAGGCUUGAGAGAUGGAAGGGAAAGUGGAAUUCCUAGUGUAGCGGUGAAAUGCGCAGAUAUUAGGAAGAAUACCGGUGGCGAAGGCGACUUUCUGGUCAUCAUCUGACGCUGAGGUACGAAAGCGUGGGUAGCAAACAGG